rnacentral:rRNA from 1 species
UCAUGGCUCAGGAUGAACGCUGGCGGCGUGCCUAAUACAUGCAAGUCGAGCGAACAGACGAGGAGCUUGCUCGUUUGACGUUAGCGGCGGACGGGUGAGUAACACGUGGGUAACCUACCUAUAAGACUGGGAUAACUUCGGGAAACCGGAGCUAAUACCGGAUAAUAUUUCGAACCGCAUGGUUCGAUAGUGAAAGAUGGCUCUGCUAUCACUUAUAGAUGGACCUGCGCCGUAUUAGCUAGUUGGUAAGGUAACGGCUUACCAAGGCAACGAUACGUAGCCGACCUGAGAGGGUGAUCGGCCACACUGGAACUGAGACACGGUCCAGACUCCUACGGGAGGCAGCAGUAGGGAAUCUUCCGCAAUGGGCGAAAGCCUGACGGAGCAACGCCGCGUGAGUGAUGAAGGUCUUCGGAUCGUAAAACUCUGUUAUUAGGGAAGAACAAACGUGUAAGUAACUGUGCACGUCUUGACGGUACCUAAUCAGAAAGCCACGGCUAACUACGUGCCAGCAGCCGCGGUAAUACGUAGGUGGCAAGCGUUAUCCGGAAUUAUUGGGCGUAAAGCGCGCGUAGGCGGUUUUUUAAGUCUGAUGUGAAAGCCCACGGCUCAACCGUGGAGGGUCAUUGGAAACUGGAAAACUUGAGUGCAGAAGAGGAAAGUGGAAUUCCAUGUGUAGCGGUGAAAUGCGCAGAGAUAUGGAGGAACACCAGUGGCGAAGGCGACUUUCUGGUCUGUAACUGACGCUGAUGUGCGAAAGCGUGGGGAUCAAACAGGAUUAGAUACCCUGGUAGUCCACGCCGUAAACGAUGAGUGCUAAGUGUUAGGGGGUUUCCGCCCCUUAGUGCUGCAAGCU